CCUAGUGACAAUGGCGGAGAGGAUACACCCGUUCCCAUCCCGAACACGGAAGUUAAGCUCUCCAGCGCCGAUGGUACUUGGGCAGGAGCCCCGGGAGAGUAGGUCGUCGCUAGGC
rnacentral:rRNA from 1 species